rnacentral:rRNA from 1 species
UGUUUCGGCUAGGGGGCCAUCCCGGCUUACCAACCCGAUGCAAACUGCGAAUACCGGAGAAUGUUAUCACGGGAGACACACGGCGGGUGCUAACGUCCGUCGUGAAGAGGGAAACAACCCAGACCGCCAGCUAAGGUCCCAAAGUCAUGGUUAAGUGGGAAACGAUGUGGGAAGGCCCAGACAGCCAGGAUGUUGGCUUAGAAGCAGCCAUCAUUUAAAGAAAGCGUAAUAGCUCACUGGUCGAGUCGGCCUGCGCGGAAGAUGUAACGGGGCUAAACCAUGCACCGAAGCUGCGGCAGCGAACGUAUCACUUAAAGCGAUUCAGCGGGUUACGAUUGACGGAGCGAAGCGACGUCAAAGCGUAUACAAAGUCGAGUCGGUUUAAGGAUACGUUCGUUGGGUAGGGGAGCGUUCUGUAAGCCUGCGAAGGUGGCCUGUGAGGGUUGCUGGAGGUAUCAGAAGUGCGAAUGCUGACAUAAGUAACGAUAAAGCGGGUGAAAAGCCCGCUCGCCGGAAGACCAAGGGUUCCUGUCCAACGUUAAUCGGGGCAGGGUGAGUCGACCCCUAAGGCGAGGCCGAAAGGCGUAGUCGAUGGGAAACGGGUUAAUAUUCCCGUACUUGGUGUUACUGCGAAGGGGGGACGGAGAAGGCUAUGUUGGCCGGGCGACGGUUGUCCCGGUUUAAGCGUGUAGGCUGGUUUUCCAGGCAAAUCCGGAAAAUCAAGGCUGAGGCGUGAUGACGAGGCACUACGGUGCUGAAGCAACAAAUGCCCUGCUUCCAGGAAAAGCCUCUAAGCAUCAGGU